AUGCCAUCAUCCCUGGCUGUGGUUGCAUAUAUUGAGACUGUGAGUAAUCAUGCCUAGUGUGCAUCUGCAUGGGCUGGUACUGAGGAAAACUAUUUUGUUGCUGAGAGGACAUCAACAUCUGAUGGUGAUCAAGUGAUCCUGCAAUGUUAGAAUCCAACAUAGGAACAUUACCAGAAAUGGAACCUGUCACUGCAUUAGCUCUCAUUUUCCCUUUAAAAUCAUCUGGAUAUCCAAUUAAUCUAUAACAAUUUCCUCUCACAUGACCAGUGAGAUGACAAUGAUCACACUUCUUCAACUUAUUACAAUC
rnacentral:lncRNA from 1 species